GAAUCAAGAAAUUCAAAAUAAAGCUUCUAACUUUAAUUUUAAGCAGAUAACCCUGUUUUUGAUUCU
rnacentral:tRNA from 1 species